GCCUUGAAGAUCUGUCUCCUAAGACGGAAGGCUGUAAAGAGUCAGCUCCGCCCUUCAAAAGUUCCCAACCCUGGAACUUGCCUGGUGGUCCCAUGGUGAAGCAUCUGUCUUGCAGUGCAGGAGGUCACAACCCAUUUGUGGAGCAUGAAAUCAAUUCAGUAGCUCUUGCUAGCAUUUGCUCACCAAACAGAAUGGAAUAGAUCAGAGUGCAUGGCACAUAGUAAUAGCCAAAAUGUUUAAAAAUCGCUAGACUUUAAGUAGAGGAAGCACCAAGGGAAGAAAAAUAAAUGAUCAGAGUGUGGACAACUUUGGGGAGAAGUUUGGCCUUGAGUGGGAAGUUGACUGAUCGCAAGCUGCUCUUCUGGCUCCAGAAAACAAGAGGGACCCCAUGUGAAGGAUGGACAACAAGCAUCAGUAAGCAUAAGCAUCAAAGAAGAAAGUCUUGGGAGGCCUCCCCAAAUGCGGCUGAGGCAGGUGUGGUCGGUGCAGAGCAGGUAGCAGAGAGAGGGCUCAAAAAGCAGAGGAGGCAGCCCAAGAGGGACAAGUGCCCUGUUGUAAGACUCCAGUGUCAACCUGUAGUGUCUAAUCUCACGCUUACAGAAACCCAGGGGCCCCAGGUUUGAUCCCUGGUCAGGGAACUAGAUCCCACACGCUGCAACUAGAAGUUCUCCUGCCUCAACUAGGAGUUCUCCUGCCUCAACAAAGAUCAAAGAUCCCACGUGCUGUGACUAAGAC
ensembl:lncRNA